AUUGAACGCUGGCGGCAGGCCUAACACAUGCAAGUCGAACGAGUGGCGGACGGGUGAGUAAUGUCUGGGAAACUGCCUGAUGGAGGGGGAUAACUACUGGAAACGGUAGCUAAUACCGCAUACCCUCGGAUGUGCCCAGAUGGGAUUAGCUUGUUGGUGGGGUAAAGGCUCACCAAGGCGACGAUCCCUAGCUGGUCUGAGAGGAUGACCAGCCAAACUGGAACUGAGACACGGUCAAGACUCCUACGGGAGGCAGCAGGGGGGAAUAUUGCACAAGGGGCGCAAGCCUGAUGCAGCCAUGCCGCGUGUAUGAAGAAGGCCUUCGGGUUGUAAAGUACUUUCAGCGGGGAGGCGUUACCCGCAGAAGAAGCACCGGCUAACCCCGUGCCAGCAGCCGCGGUAAUUC
rnacentral:rRNA from 1 species